rnacentral:rRNA from 1 species
GGUCGUCUGUGAAGGUGCUGCAUGGUUGUCGUCAGCUCGUGCCGUGAGGUGUCGGCUUAAGUGCCAUAACGAGCGCAACCCUAUCAUUAGUUACUAACAGGUCAUGCUGAGGACUCUAGUGAGACUGCCGUCGUAAGAUGUGAGGAAGGUGGGGAUGACGUCAAAUCAGCACGGCCCUUACGUCCGGGGCUACACACGUGUUACAAUGGGGGGUACAGAGGGCAGCUACCGGGCGACCGGAUGCCAAUCCCAAAAACCUCUCUCAGUUCGGAUCGAAGUCUGCAACCCGACUUCGUGAAGCUGGAUUCGCUAGUAAUCGCGCAUCAGCCACGGCGCGGUGAAUACGUUCCCGGGCCUU